UACGUAGGGUCCGAGCGUUUGUCCGGAAUUAUUGGGCGUAAAGAGCUCGUAGGCGGUUUGUCGCGUCUGCCGUGAAAUCCCGAGGCUCAACCUCGGGCCUGCAGUGGGUACGGGCAGACUGGAGUGCGGUAGGGGAGAAUGGAAUUCCUGGUGUAGCGGUGGAAUGCGCAGAUAUCAGGAGGAACACCGAUGGCGAAGGCAGUUCUCUGGGCCGUAACUGACGCUGAGGAGCGAAAGCGUGGGGAGCGAACAGG
rnacentral:rRNA from 1 species